UGGGGAAUAUUGGACAAUGGGCGAAAGCCUGAUCCAGCCAUGCCGCGUGUGUGAAGAAGGUCUUCGGAUUGUAAAGCACUUUAAGUUGGGAGGAAGGGCAGUAAGUUAAUACCUUGCUGCUUUGACGUUACCGACAGAAUAAUCACCGGCUAACUCUGUGCCAGCAGCCGCGGUAAUACAGAGGGUGCAAGCGUUAAUCGGAAUUACUGGGCGUAAAGCGCGCGUAGGUGGUUUGUUAAGUUGGAUGUGAAAGCCCCGGGCUCAACCUGGGAACUGCAUCCAAAACUGGCAAGCUAGAGUACGGUAGAGGGUGGUGGAAUUUCCUGUGUAGCGGUGAAAUGCGUAGAUAUAGGAAGGAACACCAGUGGCGAAGGCGACCACCUGGACUGAUACUGACACUGAGGUGCGAAAGCGUGGGGAGCAAACA
rnacentral:rRNA from 1 species